GCUGGCUUCGUAUCCCAAACAUAGAAGCGUGAUCAUCGCUAGUACAAUCCAUGCGCACUUUCUGGAAAAGGCUAGUCCUUCUGACGUAUGGAACUUUUACAUGCCCUUUGUAAAUAGGAGAAAAAAGAGAUACCAAAUAAGUUCUCGAGAGCCUCAAGACACUCCACUACUCUUUCUCCCUCAUUAUUCUCUACAUUCUAGCUAAUUUGAGUGUCGGAGGGCCCCCACC
rnacentral:lncRNA from 1 species